rfam:Spinacia oleracea cultivar SynViroflay scaffold43906.con0005.1, whole genome shotgun sequence.
AUCCCAUGGUGAGGGCAUUCCCUUUGAUAUUCCUUGAAUCGGUCCCAUGCUUCAAAAAGCGACUAAUCCCGCUUUUACUCAAAUGAUUGAAUCUUGUGACGAACUCC